CCUUAUCACUCAUUCGUCACAGU
rnacentral:miRNA from 10 species